rnacentral:rRNA from 1 species
AGUGAACGCUGGCGGCAGGCCUAACACAUGCAAGUCGAACGGCAGCACGGCAGUAGCAAUACUGUGGGUGGCGAGUGGCGGACGGGUGAGGAAUACAUCGGGAUCUACCCUGUUGUGGGGGAUAACGUAGGGAAACUUACGCUAAUACCGCAUAAGAACUGAGGUUGAAAGCGGCGGACCGCAAGGCGUCGCGCGAUUGGAUGAACCGAUGUCCGAUUAGCUAGUUGGCGGGGUAAAGGCCCACCAAGGCGACGAUCGGUAGCUGGUCUGAGAGGACGACCAGCCACACUGGAACUGAGACACGGUCCAGACUCCUACGGGAGGCAGCAGUGGGGAAUAUUGGACAAUGGGCGCAAGCCUGAUCCAGCCAUGCCGCGUGGGUGAGAAGGCC